CGCUAGUAAUCGCGGAUCAGCAUGCCGCGGUGAAUACGUUCCCGGGCCUUGUACACACCGCCCGUCACACCACGAGAGUUUGCAACACCCGAAGUCGGUGAGGUAACCCUUACGGGAGCCAGCCGCCGAAGGUGGGGCAAAUGAUUGGGGUGAAGUCGUAACAAGGUAGCCGUAUCGGAAGGUGCGGCUGGAUCACCUCCUUUCUAAGGA
rnacentral:rRNA from 1 species